UAAUUCAGAAGAGGUGCGAAGGCCAGGUAGUACAUAUGAGGACGCGGUGUCCAAUGACUAUGUAUCGAGGGGGACCUUCGCCGAGGGAAAAUGCACACCGCAGUGUUAUUUUCUCGGUUUUAGAGGCUGAAUCCUCUGAACUGUCACCAAUUAAUGGUGGAGAGCUUCUGGCAGU
rnacentral:ncRNA from 1 species